CUAGGAAAACCGAAAACAGUUCUAGACAGACCUGCGGUUUUAUAGCAGUUUUGGCAGUCAACUUCAGCUUGUGCCUGAGCAGACGGGGUUGUGGUGGCCCGCCAGCGGGGGAUGCCAGGCCACCUCCCCCAGCGGCACGCAGCCCCUCUCUUAAUUAGAUCGGUUUUCCCCUGGUGUCCGGGAGAGCGGUCCCGGCAGAAAGGAGGUCCAACAGCCGAGCUUAGCCCACCGGGCUCUGGGAAAGACCCGACUGAGGCUAAAGCCGCCCCGGAAGGCCAAGUCCGAGUUCCAUUUCUUGAAGAGGCCGGCGCGCGUAAGGCUGUGACAUUGGCCCUGGCGACUGGCUUCCCAGGAGCUGUUCUUUCUCAGGAGCUCCACAGCGCGGGCCAUCUCCAGAAAACUGUCUUCAGAGUGUAUUUCCUUUUAUCGUCAACCCAGAGCCCCACCGCGGCUAAUGCAAGAGGCCAAAAAAUGUUUGGAGGAAGAAAAACAAAGGCAGGAAGUGGCGGCGGCCUGACGGUGCGUGUGUGUCUGCAGAGAAGGGAGGGAGCCGGCUCAGUCUCUUCUUGUUUUUCCAAACUUCAAGGUCCAGGCAGCCCUCUGCAGGGCCGGGCCCCAUUGCUCCCCGCGCGGCAUUGGAGGUGGCCGCCCGGAGAGGAGAAGGCCAACGCCUGCGCCAGGCUUGUCAGGCGGAAACGGCUAACAAGGAGAUUUGGUCAGCAAAACAGACCCAGCCUUUCCGAGGCUUCGUCUGACUUGGCCCGAAAGGUUGGGGAGGGGGGGCUUGCGCAGAGCCUCAGGGACCCUCCUCUCUGGGGACUACC
ensembl:lncRNA HOXA11-AS HOXA11 antisense RNA